rnacentral:rRNA from 2 species
UGAAGUCAAGUGGGACUACCC